UCGGGUAUGGUGUAGCGGUAACAUCGCUGACUCUCAUUGGUCAUCCGGCCUGAGCACUCAGCAGCCCGGGGUUCGACUCCCCGUAUCCGAG